rnacentral:rRNA from 1 species
ACGGUCCUAAGGUAGCGAAAUUCCUUGUCGGGUAAGUUCCGACCUGCACGAAUGGCAUAAUGAUGGCCAGGCUGUCUCCACCCGAGACUCAGUGAAAUUGAAAUCGCCGUGAAGAUGCGGUGUACCCGCGGCUAGACGGAAAGACCCCGUGAACCUUUACUAUAGCUUGACACUGAACAUUGAAUUUUGAUGUGUAGGAUAGGUGGGAGACUUUGAAGUAGUCACGCCAGUGAUUAUGGAGUCGUCCUUGAAAUACCACCCUUUAACGUUUGAUGUUCUAACGAAGAUUACGAAACGUGGUCUCGGACAGUGUCUGGUGGGUAGUUUGACUGGGGCGGUCUCCUCCCAAAGAGUAACGGAGGAGCACGAAGGUUUGCUAAUGACGGUCGGACAUCGUCAGGUUAGUGCAAUGGUAUAAGCAAGCUUAACUGCGAGACAGACAAGUCGAGCAGGUACGAAAGUAGGUCAUAGUGAUCCGGUGGUUCUGCAUGGAAGGGCCAUCGCUCAACGGAUAAAAGGUACUCCGGGGAUAACAGGCUGAUACCGCCCAAGAGUUCAUAUCGACGGCGGUGUUUGGCACCUCGAUGUCGGCUCAUCACAUCCUGGGGCUGAAGUAGGUCCCAAGGGUAUGGCUGUUCGCCAUUUAAAGUGGUACGCGAGCUGGGUUUAGAACGUCGUGAGACAGUUCGGUCCCUAUCUGCCGUGGGCGUUGGAGAAUUGAUUGGGGCUGCUCCUAGUACGAGAGGACCGGAGUGGACGCACCACUGGUGUUCCGGUUGUGUCGCCAGACGCAUUGCCGGGUAGCUAAGUGCGGAAGAGAUAAGUGCUGAAAGCAUCUAAGCACGAAACUUGCCAAGAGAUGAGUUCUCCCAGAUUUAAAAUCUGUAAGGGUUGUUUAAGACUAAGACGUAGAUAGGUCUGGUGUGUAAGCGGUGCGAGCCGUUGAGCUAACAGAUACUAAUUGCCCGAGAGGCUUAACUAU